AUGGGAUGUGUGGAUCAAGCCACUCGUAGUUCAAGAGUUCCAAUGAGUGGAUGACUCAUUGGAGGCUUUUGAUUCUGGAAUUAGAGUAGUGUUUGGGACGAAUUUGGUUUAAGUGGACCAGAGAUUCGAUUUUGUGUUUAGGAUGCGGUUGCAUCUAGAUAGAUUUGGUUCUAGAUUGCCUACAUACCCUUUGCGGGAUCAAACCACAUGUAGUUCCGGCUUUUUAGAUUUAAAUGGGUAAAUGACCCAUUUAUUUUGAAUUUGUGUUUGGGAAAGUGUUUAAAGCCCUUGAAUUUGGUUUGGACUUUAUUUGUGUGAUUUGGGAAUGAAUUUGAUUUUUUUCUGGUGUUGGGAGAAUUUGACUGGAGUCAGUGAUUCAUUUGGGAUUGGUUGAAUUUGACUGGUGGAGUCAGGGAUUCUGUUUGGAGUUGCGGUUGCAUCUAGUGGGUCGCUAGACU
rnacentral:lncRNA from 1 species